CAUCGGAGACUUUUGGACUCAACCUCAGAUUGUAAUAUGAAGGUGAGCAAGAGCUUCCGGUGUG
rnacentral:pre_miRNA from 1 species